GCCGAGGUGGCGAAAUUGGCAGACGCACUAGCUUUAGGAGCUAGCGGAGCAAUCCAUGGGAGUUCAAGUCUCCCCCUCGGCA
rfam:Parcubacteria bacterium GW2011_GWA2_43_9b TW11_C0005, whole genome shotgun sequence.